GCUGCCGCUAGCAUAGCAGGCUACCGAGCUAACUAGUUAGCCUCUCCAAUUUACUUAAUCUAAAUUUAAAGUGAAGGACAACAACGCCAAAAAUGUACUUUUAUAUGUUUUUGGCGUCUUACUUUGUCCGUCUUCCCCAGUCCGUUUGAAACACUUAAGUCUUAAGUUUGAAAAAAGUUACUUGGAGAGGCUAACUAGUUAGCUUAGGAGCUUGCAAUGCUAGCGGCGGCCAUCUCUUCUGUCCGUGCAGUGAUCCUGUAGCCUGCGUAAUGUGGCGUCAAAAAAGAAUAAUGGGAAUAAUGUAAAGGUGACUAUAGGGGUCUAAUAAUGUUUUUUUUUUUUUUUUUAAAACGUAUUUAGAAAGUCAUAAACAAGUUUUCAUAAACAGUUUAUAGUCGUCCCUCGUUUAUCCCUCGUUUCUCGCAGUUACUUGGUUCCAAACCUGACUGUGAAAGUGGUCUGAUUUCGCGAUCUGCAGGGGGGAAAAGCGUGCCGCAGCUAGGACUCCACCAGCGGCCACUGCCUCACAAGUCUGUGCGCUCAAAAUUUUCCAGCAGGAAAAUGCUUUGACAAGGCGUGAUGUGCAGCUGCAGAUUUUGAAUGCAAUGUGAGGGGAUCCACCGUACAUCAAUUAUUCCAGAGCCUACCAGUGUCAUUGGAGGCGAACAUGACAACAAAGGGCUCCCUGAUGAAGGUAUCGGUCCCACACGGCUCGCAGCCAUCAUCGUAAGUGUAGCUUUUGGCCACAGACACUAUCUGCUCCCUGGAAAGAAACAAAAACAUAUUAGA